CCUACGGGUGGCAGCAGGGAGGAAUAUUGGUCUAUGGGCGAGAGCCUGAACCAGCCAAGUCGCGUGAGGGAAGACGGUCCUAUGGAUUGUAAACCUCUUUUGCCGGGGAGCAAAAAGCGGUACGUGUACCGCAUCGAGAGUACCCGGAGAAAAAGCAUCGGCUAACUCCGUGCCAGCAGCCGCGGUAAUCUGGAGGAUGUGAGCGUUAUCCGGAUUUAUUGGGUUUAAAGGGUGCGCAGGCGGCGAGUUAAGUCAGCGGUAAAAGUGCGGGGCUCAACCCCGACAAGCCGUUGAAACUGGCGUGCUAGAGUGGGCGAGAAGUAUGCGGAAUGCGUGGUGUAGCGGUGAAAUGCAUAGAUAUCACGCAGAACUCCGAUUGCGAAGGCAGCAUACCGGCGCCCCACUGACGCUCAGGCACGAAAGCGUGGGUAUCGAACAGGAUUAGAUAACCGUGUAGUC
rnacentral:rRNA from 1 species